GACGAACGCUGGCGGCGUGCUUAGCACAUGCAAGUCGAACGGAAAGGCCCUGCUUUUGUGGGGUGCUCGAGUGGCGAACGGGUGAGUAACACGUGAGUAACCUGCCCUUGACUUUGGGAUAACUUCAGGAAACUGGGGCUAAUACCGGAUAGGAGCUCCUGCUGCAUGGUGGGGGUUGGAAAGUUUCGGCGGUUGGGGAUGGACUCGCGGCUUAUCAGCUUGUUGGUGGGGUAGUGGCUUACCAAGGCUUUGACGGGUAGCCGGCCUGAGAGGGUGACCGGCCACAUUGGGACUGAGAUACGGCCCAGACUCGUACGGGAGGCAGCAGUGGGGAAUAUUGCACAGUGGGCGGAAGCCUGAUGCAGCAACGCCGCGUGCGGGAUGACGGCCUUCGGGUUGUAAACCGCUUUCGCCUGUGACGAAGCGUGAGUGACGGUAAUGGGUAAAGAAGCACCGGCUAACUACGUG
rnacentral:rRNA from 1 species